rnacentral:rRNA from 1 species
AGUGAACGCUGGCGGUAGGCCUAACACAUGCAAGUCGAACGGCAGCACAGUAAGAGCUUGCUCUUACGGGUGGCGAGUGGCGGACGGGUGAGGAAUACAUCGGAAUCUACUUUUUCGUGGGGGAUAACGUAGGGAAACUUACGCUAAUACCGCAUACGACCUACGGGUGAAAGCAGGGGAUCUUCGGACCUUGCGCGAUUGAAUGAGCCGAUGUCGGAUUAGCUAGUUGGCGGGGUAAAGGCACACCAAGGCGACGAUCCGUAGCUGGCCUGAGAGGAUGAUCGGCCACACUGGAACUGAGACACGGUCCAGACUCCUACGGGAGGCAGCAGUAGGGAAUAUUCGACAAUGGGCGCAAGCCUGAUCCAGCCACGCCGCGUGAGUGAUGAAGGCCUUCGGAUCGUAAAGCCCUGUUGUUGGGGAAGAACAGCUGUAUAAUUAACUCCCGCCGUUCUGACGGUACCUAAUGAAUAAGCACCGGCUAACUUCGUG